ACAGCACCACUGGAAUCUGAAGGUCUUUAUUUAACUAGAGGAUAGAUACAGCAUAGGCAGAAACAGUGCAAGCUUCUUUUAUGGUCUCAUGCCAAUGUGCCUCAGUGGUAAACUGGGGACCACCAGAGCUCUACGAUUCAAGUAGUUCAUCCUCCAUAACAGAUACAGUGCUUGC
rnacentral:sRNA from 1 species